GGGGUUGUGGCUUAGUGGUAGAGCGCUCACCUAGCACAUGUGAGGCGCUGGGUUGGAUCCUCAGCACCACA
rnacentral:tRNA from 1 species